rnacentral:rRNA from 1 species
UAAAACCUGCUCAAUGAUAAAUUUUAAAUAGCCGCGAAYUACGUGCUAAGGUAGCAUAAUCAUUUGUUUUUUAAUUAAAAACUAGAAUGAAAGGUUUAACAUUUAAAUUUCUUUAUUAAUCCUCUAUAUUUAAUUUAUAUUAAAUAUAAAAAUAUAUUUAUAAAAAAAAAAGACGACAAGACCCUAUUAAAUUUUACUUAUGUUUGGCUGGGGAAGCCAACUAAUUAUAAUUUUAGUAUAAAAAUAAAAAUAUCUAAUACAAUUAAAUUUUUAACAAAUUACUAUAGGGAUAACAGCGUUAUAUUUUUUAAAAGCUCAUAUUUAAAAAAAUGUUUGCGACCUCGAUGUUGAAUUAUAUUUCUUUAUUUAAUGCAACAAUUAUAAAAGUAGGUCUGUUCGACCUUUAAAAUAUUACAUGA